CGCGUAGGCUGUGCUGCAAGUCAGGCGUGAAAGGCCCGGGCUCAACCUGGGAACUGCGCAUGAUACUGCGGCGCUUGAAGGCGGGAGAGGAUGGCGGAAUUCCCAGUGUAGAGGUGAAAUUCGUAGAUAUUGGGAAGAACACCGGUGGCGAAGGCGGCCAUCUGGCCCGCAAUUGACGCUGAGGCGCGAAAGCGUGGGGAGCAAACAGGAUUAGAUACCCUGGUAGUCCACGCCGUAAACGAUGAGUGCUAGACGUCGGGGAGCUUGCCCUUCGGUGUCGCCGCUAACGCAUUAAGCACUCCGCCUGGGGAGUACGGUCGCAAGAUUAAA
rnacentral:rRNA from 1 species